UUUAGGGUGACACUCCAACCCUCUAUUACUCACAAGUCACAUGAAAUAGCAUUGCCAUUCAUCUAAAACAAUCAAAAUCUUCACAUGCAAACACCAUCAUAAGGACUUUUCUAAGGCUUGUAUUGAGGCUGUACUAACAAGAAAAAUUGGUUUUUCUGGAAUGUAAAAUCCUUGAGCUAGGAGAGCCCCAAUAAUAUUCAACAUUUAAGAACAGCUCUCUACCUCACCAAUCUCACUUAUUCCAAACUUCUUCCCUUUUUCUUCUAUUUUUACAUUGAGCUCAUCUUCAUGUUUUUCUUCUUUUCUUUUCUUUUUUUCUCAUGCAUUUGACUUUCUCAACAUUUGAGCUCAAUAUUUUCCAAUUAGCUUUCAAUUUCCCCCAUACAACCCCA
rnacentral:lncRNA from 1 species